AAAUGAGUGAUAACAAUAAAAUAUUCAACAACAACAACAAUAAUAAUAAAACAAAUAUUAUUUUUUUUUGACAAUAAAUUGUAAAUAUUAUUACCACGACCAAAAUCAAAGAACUAGUAUUUACAAAUUAUGACACUAACUCCUUAUCCUCACCUAGCCAUAUAAAGCUUCAAACCAACUUAUACAACUCUUAAAAUUUUUGGACUCACUAUGGCACUAAAUCUAGCACUAACUAUAAACUGUAUCUCUUGUGCUGCUAUACCUAUAACCAUGUAUUGUUUUCUAUAUAAUUUCAUAUUCCUAUCAUUCCAAGAAAAUUAUAUCAAUGCACUAUAUAUUGCUUCCACUAUUUUUUUUAGCAUGCACCAAUGUUUGUUCUGAAUCAUCUGCAAUGUUCUGGACAUCUUCCUUUGGAUUAUUUAUAUCUCCAUCCAUUGUGAUAGUUUGUCCCACACCUGCACUGUCCAUUCACAUGCCAAAAAUAGAUAAUUGCCAAUCAUAAAAUGAAUCUAUGUAUAAGUUGCAUGAUUCUGCUCCACACCAUCCUGCUUAAAUGCCAUAUUUCUCCAUUUCCUACAAUAUCCUGGCAGCUCUUAGUCAUGGAGUAUUUAUCAGAUUUUGUGAGGAUGUAUUUACCAUUUCUAUACCAGCUUACCAUCCCUAGUUUAAUCAUAUUGAGUUGCUUCCAAUGCCAGCUACUCCUUGCUCUUAGAACAUGUUCCUAAAUGUCCUUUCCUCCUUUCAUAUACACCUCAUGAACCUGCCUAAUCACAAACUCUCAUUGUUAUUAGCCGGCUGCCAGAUGAACUUGCCAACAACAGUCAAAUUUCAAUGUUUACAGCUCUUUACAUUAAAUCAUUUUGAGCAUUACUAUCUUGUUAAUACCAUACUUACCCCCACUUCUUUUGAGUAUCACCAAUUAUUACAUUGAAAGGAGGUGAGCUCCAAAAAUAUAACAUGCUAUAACAUUUUGACAAAACUCAAUCUCAGAUUUAAUGUCUUCCAUUCAAUUUCAAUGAUAUUAGACACCAUACUUUGUAGGAGAAACAUACUCCAAUUUGAGCUUGCAUUUUCCAUUUUAGUGAUAUCAGAAUUAUCACAAAUGGAGUUCUUGUGGUGCUUAAGUUCCUCUUUAAUAAGAUCUUCCAGGAUUUCCUACCACUUGUGAUCACUUUCCCAUGAUUUUUAACAGUUGAAUUAUUGACGACUUCAUUCCAUAUGUGAUUCAUCUGCUGCUUCAACAAUUCUCCUUUUUGGGCACUGUUUUUACUGUAUCAUUAGAUUUAGCUGACUUCAAGCUCAAAAUUGCGCCGACUACCUCAUGUUUGGAAUUGACUUGACCCUUCUCCAUCAAUUUCACCAUUGAAGAUGAAGCUUGAGCUGCUCGUAAUUCCUUUGAAGAAGGAGUCCCCCGCAUUCCUAAUUCUUCAAUUUGAACCUGCUCAACUACUUUAGUUGCUGAAAUUUGCUUCUUCCCCUUACCUCUUGCUUGCACUAAUCUUGUUUUCAGCAUUUGCAUAGCUUUCUGUGAAGGUAUGCAAGUUCUCCUCCUUAUGAAAGGCGUAAUUUAGUAAACCUAUGUUAAUUAUCCUACCUCGGAAGAGGAAAGGGUCGUUGGUCUCCUUAUAUGGCUUGGAUAAUCCUCCUCCUCAUGAGCUAGCUUUUGGGGUGUGAGUUAGGUCCAAGACCAAUUUUCACAUGGUAUUAGAGACAAGUUCAUUCCAAAUAUUUAUUCACCGAUGUUGGGCCCCUAUAUAUAUAUUGUCCACGCUACAGUUAGCCUGGGCGUGCCGGGAGUGUUAAGUAUGCUCCUCAUGAGCUAGCUUUUGGGGUAUGAGUUAGGUCCAAGACCAAUUUUAACAUGGUAUCAGAGUCAGGCCCACCCAGUUCAUUAUUUUCGAUGUUGGGCCCCCCGUCUUAUAUUGUCCACGCUCUAGAUGUCCAGUCCUGAGCGUGCAGGGGAUGUGGGGGGUGUUGGAGUCCCACAUCGAUGGGUUAAAGGGUCCUUGAUCUCCCUCCUUAUAUGGUCUUGAGCAAUCCUCUCCUCAUGAGUUAGCUUUUGAGGUUGAGUUAGGCCCAAGACCAAUUUUCACAAUCUACACCCAGAAUGAAGCAGUCUUCGCAAAAGUUUGACUCACAUAUUCAAUAGGAAUUUUAAAAUAUUUUAGAGAUAGCACACAAGUACUCCCCCUCCCCCCAAACUGAUAGUGCAAGAUGGGCGGGGGUGAAUUGUUUAUUUUUUAUCUCUUAGUCAACUAUCUAGAUUCAUAAGCCGACUUAUAGCAAUAGUAAUUAAAUAGAAAAUAUAAAAGGCAAGAAAGUAAACUUGACACAAGAUAUUUUAUACUUGUUGGGAUCCCUAAUGUAUCUGACUCAAGUUUUCUUGGGUUGCAAGGGUGUUCUGCUAGUCUUUUUCAAAUGUUGAUUUGGUACAACGAUUGCUUUAAAAAGCAAUGCUAAGUAAACUCAAUAUUCUUUUUCUUUCAAAUCAUUUUACACUAUAGCCUCAGCAACAAUCUUUUUUUCUACCCUCUUUUUUUGUUACACAGUAAAUCUCAGAGACUUACAAUGCUUAUGAAAAGUAGAGCAAAGAAUGGUAGAUGAUAAAGACUAGUAGCGUAUGAAUGUUCUUCUUCAAGGUCCUUUAAAUAGUUGGGAAUAUGACCAUUGAAGGGGUGAUGCAACCCAAUAUAUUUGAUCC
rnacentral:lncRNA from 1 species